UACGGGGGGGGCAAGCGUUGUUCGGAAUUACUGGGCGUAAAGGGCGCGUAGGCGGCUCGCUAAGUCGGGUGUGAAAACUCUGGGCUCAACCCAGAGCCUGCAUUCGAAACUGACGAGCUAGAGUUCUGGAGGGGAAAGCGGAAUUCCUGGUGUAGCGGUGGAAUGCGUAGAUAUCAGGAGGAACACCGGUGGCGAAGGCGGCUUUCUGGACAGAAACUGACGCUGAGGCGCGAAAGCUAGGGGAGCAAACAGG
rnacentral:rRNA from 1 species